rnacentral:rRNA from 1 species
UUUCGCAAUGCCCGAAAGGGUGACGAAGCGACGCCGCGUGUGGGAAGAAGGCCUUCGGGUUGUAAACCACUGUCGGGAGUUAGGAAGUGUAAGGAUGUGAAUAACGUCUUUGCUUGACUAAGGCUCCGGAGGAAGCCACGGCUAACUCUGUGCCAGCAGCCGCGGUAAUACAGAGGCGGCAAGCGUUGUUCGGAAUUAUUGGGCGUAAAGAGCACGUAGGCGGCCUUGCAGGUCAGUUGUGAAAGCCUUCUGCUUAACGGAAGAGCAGCAUCUGAUACUGCAAGGCUAGAGUGCGGAAGGGGAGAGUGGAACUUCUGGUGGAGCGGUGAAAUGCGUAGAUAUCAGAAGGAACACCGGCGGCGAAGGCGACUCUCUGGUCCGUAACUGACGCUGAGUGUGCGAAAGCUAGGGGAGCAAACGGGAUUAGAUACCCCGGUAGUCCUAGCCGUAAACGAUGGGCACUAAGUAGAGGGGUUUUA